UACGUAGGGGGCUAGCGUUGUCCGGAUUUAUUGGGCGUAAAGAGCGUGUAGGCGGCCAGGUAGGUCUGAUGUGAAAACUCGAGGCUCAACCUCGAGACGUCGGCGGAAACCAUCUGGCUAGAGUCCGGAAGAGGAGAGUGGAAUUCCUGGUGUAGCGGUGAAAUGCGCAGAUAUCAGGAAGAACACCCGUGGCGAAGGCGGCUCUCUGGGACGGUACUGACGCUGAGACGCGAAAGCGUGGGGAGCGAACAGG
rnacentral:rRNA from 1 species